AUAAGGUAUUUGGUUCUGGCACAAAACUCCUCGUCUCCAACAAAGAAAAUUCUCCACCAGCAAACUCAGAAAUCCUGCAGAAGAAACAUGAAAAUCAGAUUACAUAUCUUUGCCUCAUUGAGAGAUUCUACCCAGAAGUUAUUCGGGUGACAUGGGUGGAUGAAGAAAAAAAGGAGGUAACAGACAACGUAGUCAAAGGUGACCCUUGGCAGCCCACGAAGGAGGAUGGAUACUCAAUCGGCAGCUGGUUGACUGUACCAGCAGAGAAGAAACACAAGAAAUUUUACUGCAAGUACGAGCAUGAAAGCCAAGAGCGUUCACUGCCAGCACAAGAUCACCUAAUGCACAGAACAGCAUAUUUAGUGUACAUCAUCCUUCUUCUGAAGAGCUCCAUGUACUAUCUUAUUGUACUCUUCUUUCUCUACAGAAUGUGGGCUCCAACCAAACAGCAAGGAAAGAAAGCAUAA